rnacentral:rRNA from 1 species
CAGUAGCCACGGGAAUACGAAGGGUGCAAGCGUUACUCGGAAUUACUGGGCGUAAAGCGUGCGUAGGUGGUGGUUUAAGUCCGUUGUGAAAGCCCUGGGCUCAACCUGGGAAUUGCAGUGGAUACUGGGUCACUAGAGUGUGGUAGAGGAUAGUGGAAUUUCCGGUGUAGCAGUGAAAUGCGUAGAGAUCGGAAGGAACAUCAGUGGCGAAGGCGGCCAUCUGGGACAACACUGACGCUGAGGCACGAAAGCGUGGGGAGCAAACAGGAUUAGAUACCCCCGUAGUCCCUGUCUCUUAUAC